GUAGGUGGCAAGCGUUGUCCGGAAUUAUUGGGCGUAAAGCGCGCGCAGGUGGUUCUUUAAGUCUGAUGUGAAAGCCCCCGGCUCAACCGGGGAGGGUCAUUGGAAACUGGGGAGCUUGAGUGCAGGAGAGGAAAGUGGAAUUCCACGUGUAGCGGUGAAAUGCGUAGAUAUGUGAGGAACACCAGUGGCGAAGGCGACUUUCUGGCCUGUAACUGACACUGAGGCGCGAAAGCGUGGGGAGCAAACAGGGAUUAGAUACCCUGGUAGUCCACGCCGUAAACGAUGAGUGCUAAGUGUUGGGGGGGUUUCCGCCCCCUCAGUGCUGCAGCUAACGCAUUAAGCACUCCGCCUGGGAUACGGUCGCAAGACUG
rnacentral:rRNA from 1 species